ACUCUAAGAUAUAGGACGUCCACUUAACUUGGCAGUCCGAACUCUCACUUUCUAACCCUGUGCACUUGUUUGGGAUAGUAACUCUCGCAAGAGAGCGAACUCCUAUUCACUUAUAAACACAAAGUCUAUGAAUGUAUUAAAUUUUAUAACAAAAUAAAACUUUCAACAACGGAUCUCUUGGCUCUCGCAUCGAUGAAGAACGCAGCGAAAUGCCAUAAGUAAUGUGAAUUGCAGAAUUCAGUGAAUCAUCGAAUCUUUGAACGCACCUUGCGCUCCAUGGUAUUCCGUGGAGCAUGCCUGUUUGAGUGUCAUGAAUACUUCAACCCUCCUCUUUCUUAAUGAUUGAAGAGGUGUUUGGUUUCUGAGCGCUGCUGGCCUUUACGGUCUAGCUCGUUCGUAAUGCAUUAGCAUCCGCAAUCGAACUUCGGAUUGACUUGGCGUAAUAGACUAUUCGCUGAAGAAUUCUAGUCUUCGGACUAGAGCCGGGUUGGGUUAAAGGAAGCUUCUAAUCAGAAUGUCUACAUUUUAAGAUUAGAUCUCANAUCAGGUAGGACUACCCGCUG
rnacentral:rRNA from 1 species